GGGAAAUGGACAGAGGGGCCAGCCCCGGGCCCUGAUUCAAAAUGGGGCA
rfam:Nomascus leucogenys chromosome 7b, whole genome shotgun sequence.